AGAGCGAACGCUGGCGGCAGGCUUAACACAUGCAAGUCGAGCGGGCGUAGCAAUACGUCAGCGGCAGACGGGUGAGUAACGCGUGGGAACGUACCUUUUGGCUCGGAACAACACAGGGAAACUUGUGCUAAUACCGGAUAAGCCCUUACGGGGAAAGAUUUAUCGCCAAAAGAUCGGCCCGCGUCUGAUUAGCUAGUUGGUGAGGUAACGGCUCACCAAGGCGACGAUCAGUAGCUGGUCUGAGAGGAUGAUCAGCCACAUUGGGACUGAGACACGGCCCAAACUCCUACGGGAGGCAGCAGUGGGAAUAUUGGACAAUGGGCGCAAGCCUGAUCCAGCCAUGCCGCGUGAGUGAUGAAGGCCCUAGGGUUGUAAAGCUCUUUUGUGCGGGAAGAUAAUGACGGUACCGCAAGAAUAAGCCCCGGCUAACUUCGUAGCCAGCAGCCGC
rnacentral:rRNA from 1 species